rnacentral:rRNA from 1 species
CACGUAGUUAGCCGGUGCUUAUUCUUACGGUACCGUCAUUAGCCCUCUUUAUUAGAAAGAACCGUUUCGUUCCGUACAAAAGCAGUUUACAACCCGAAGGCCUUCAUCCUGCACGCGGCAUUGCUGGAUCAGGCUUUCGCCCAUUGUCCAAAAUUCCCCACUGCUGCCUCCCGUAGGAGUCUGGGCCGUGUCUCAGUCCCAGUGUGGCUGGUCGUCCUCUCAGACCAGCUACAGAUCGAAGGCUUGGUGAGCCUUUACCUCACCAACUACCUAAUCUGCCAUCGGCCGCUCCAUUCGCGCAAGGCCUUGCGGUCCCCUGCUUUCAUCCGUAGAUCGUAUGCGGUAUUAGCACAGCUUUCGCUGCGUUAUCCCCCACGAUUGGGCACGUUCCGAUGUAUUACUCACCCGUUCGCCACUCGCCACCAGGAUUGCUCCCGUGCUGCCGUUCGACUUGCAUGUGUAAGGCAUGCCGCCAGCGUUCAAUCUGAGCCAGGA